AUCGCUUCUCGGCCUUUUGGCUAAGAUCAAGUGUAGUAUCUGUACAUUAUGUAACUACAGAAGUGUCAUGUUUUAAAUAGGAAAAUAUACAAACUCUUUGGUCAUUUUUGAGUGAGAUGCUAACAGUCUAAUCAGAUUCACUAAUUUAU
rnacentral:snRNA from 1 species